CCCCCCUAUGAAUGUGUUGUGCUUAGGGCUUAUGGGCGGUCGGGGGAGGAGGGGACGCAGAAGUUUUUGAAUAAAGUUUUCACUUCCUCAGCUUCCAGAAGCUUCUUCAGCUGAAGAAGAAAAAAAGAAAAGACAGAAAAGACAAAC
ensembl:ncRNA T10B10.10 ncRNA